rnacentral:lncRNA from 1 species
UUUCCAACAUCUCUUCCUCCUUCCUCCCAUCGGACAGCUCUAGAUCUCGCCGCCGCCGCCGCCAGUACUCGUCGUCCGCUAGCCCCUUCCCUCUCGGCUCCGGCGUCCUCACCGCACCGGGUAGGGAAAGGACCCUCCACCCUCCUGUACAUCCUUUAGGAGUCCCGCGAUGGGUUCUCUCCAGUGGUCGUCGUCGCUGCUACUGCAGCUCUCGUCGCCCGCCGACGAGGCUCCAAACCAAGGUACGUCUAAAUAAAAUAAAUCUGCUCCUCCGCAGCACGGCUCUCCCCUCCUCCAGCUCCACCUCGUCUACCUCACGUCGCCUCUCAGUUUCGUGCUCCUCCGACCCACAUCCACCACAGCUCGCCUUCGCCUCCACCUCUACUUUGCAGCCAUCGAUCCUGCCGACCCAGAUAGCUCCUUAUCCGGCGUUGGCACGACGACUUCGUCUCCAUCUUGGACCCGACUUGGAGCUUCAUCCACUACCUCCGGCGACGGCAACAAAUUUACCCUUCGGUUGCUCGACGCACGCUUCCUCACCGGCUCCGUCGCCCCACCUUCAACCGACACUUGGCGCGGCCUUCCAUAUGGGUGUAUGCGCCAUCGGCGCCUCUACGGCCCCUCGCUGGCGAAUUUGUCGUCGUCAACGUCUCUAACAUAGCUGUUGUUUUUAUCUGGUCGUUGGACCUUGUCGUAAUUCGGUCUUUCUUGGAGGACUUUUUGUGUAAAAUGUCUGCUAAAUAUGGCCUUGUUUAGUUGGCAAAAUUUUGGUUUUUUGCUACUGUAGCAUUUUCGUUUUUAUUUGACAAACAUUGUCCAAUCACGGAGUAACUAGGCUCAAAAGAUUCAUCUCACAAAUUUUAGGUAAACUGUGUA